UUGUUUGAUAUUCAGGCUACAUUGUUAAGAAGUCCUGCCAUCAUCAUUGGACCAUGAGAGUUUUGCAGAACAAAUUUGAAGAACUUGGGAGUUUGGUGAACUUGAAUUGACUUGGAUCAACCUACAUUUAACUUCAUACUAACUGGAAGACAGAAACUAUGUGAAACAGAGCCUGUCAUCCCAGCAGACAUUGCGUUUCAUCAGCCAACUCACAGCUGCUCAACAUGAGAGUGAUCCCCGGUGAGGCCCAGCUGAUCUCAGCCAUGGCCAGCACUACCUCAGCUCAUAAACUCAUGCAAGGGUUCCUGCUAUUGUCUCAUCUAAGGUAGACUUGGGUGGUAGCUCUGUGUCAUUCUCCAUGUUCCAAGACUGAGACUUUUGGCUGGAACCAGAGACAUCUGUUCAGCACAUCAUUUCACAGCAAAGGCUAAAAGAAGUGCUACCUGGGAUGUGUUCUUUUGGAUGAUCACAACCACCAAGAAGUCCUUCCUCAUCAAUUUCCACGCUUCCUUGAAAUGUGCAGUAUUCACAUCUGCAGCUGCAAAUUUUGUGGAAAUACACUGACUCACGCCACAUGGGCAGGCAAACACAGAAUGGUACAAUGAAGAUGUUAAAAUUCAGACAAGCAUAAUGGCAGAAUGAGAGAAGCUUUUACAAACAGCCAAAGAAUGUGAAAACACAGAAUUGGAUAAAAGUAACAGGAUCUGAUACUGUGCGACUUCUGGAUCUUUCCCAAAGUCACAAGGACCAUGAAAAGAAAAUGUUUUGCAUCUAUUCAAGACAUAUAGGCACAACAGUACAACUAAAAUCAGGAAAGAAGACUUCCAGAACUGCUCCAGACAUGGGACGCAAAAAUGAAGGCCUAAGAGGGCAACAAGUUGACACAACUAACCUGCCAGAACAGAUAGAAGACAAGAGAACUAUGGAACAAAUGGCAAAGAUCAUACUAGGACACGUCAUCAGGGUACACCCAGAACCCAUUACCUAUGAAUGUUAGCACAAUUGAGCAUGCCUUGUUUUAGGUAUCCAAGAGCUUCUGCACUGUCAGUGUAAAUGUUUGGCUUGGAACCCUUCAGUGUAAUCAGGUCCAGAGCUCAGAUAUUGUCACUCUUCACUCUCAUACAUAUUUUUCUUCCUUAUUCUUCCAUGCCCCUUAGUUCUUUUGCUAGGAUGUCUGACCUCAGGCAGUUCUUCCCAUUCAGGAUUUAUUCUUCUGCUCCCUUGGAAACAAAAUUUACCAUAGCUGUUUCUCAGCUCUCUGGGCCCUUUAGAUACAAUGUGGACUGAAUUAAUGGCAAGAUUGAAAGACAAAUAGGAAAGAGUCUCUGUAUUUCUUCAAUGAUAUCUGUAAUAGCCAAUUUUUUUUUUUAGAAUAAA